rnacentral:miRNA from 1 species
GACCGCUCGCCUUCGAGGCCACC